UAGGGAAUCUUCCGCAAUGGGCGAAAGCCUGACGGAGCAACGCCGCGUGAGUGAUGAAGGUCUUCGGAUCGUAAAACUCUGUUAUUAGGGAAGAACAAAUGUGUAAGUAACUAUGCACGUCUUGACGGUACCUAAUCAGAAAGCCACGGCUAACUACGUGCCAGCAGCCGCGGUAAUACGUAGGUGGCAAGCGUUAUCCGGAAUUAUUGGGCGUAAAACGCGCGUAGGCGGUUUUUUAAGUCUGAUGUGAAAGCCCACGGCUCAACCGUGGAGGGUCAUUGGAAACUGGAAAACUUGAGUGCAGAAGAGGAAAGUGGAAUUCCAUGUGUAGCGGUGAAAUGCGCAGAGAUAUGGAGGAACACCAGUGGCGAAGGCGACUUUCUGGUCUGUAACUGACGCUGAUGUGCGAAAGCGGGGGGAUCAAACAGG
rnacentral:rRNA from 1 species